rnacentral:lncRNA from 1 species
ACACAUAAAGCACCAUGUUUUACGUCCCAUGAGGUGGAACAUCACCUCACUGAAGGUACUGAAAAUGAUAUCACUAUGGCAUGGUUUAAGGUUUGAAUAGAAUAUCAACAUUUAUUGCAGCAGACUUAUAGCUAAUUUUGGUACUACUGCUGACACAUCCUAUCAGAAUUGUAGGUUUCCAAAUAUUGUUACCAUAUUUUUUAAUCUUAUUAGUGGGUUUGCACGUACAGUGUUAUUGAAUUUGUUGUUUGCUAAUAUGAUAUGAGAAGCUGUUACGGUAUCAAUCUUUUCAAUAAUAUCUGCAAUUUCAAAUUCUUAGAGCAAGUUCCUAUUAUAUCACAGCCAGAAAUAGGAUAUAUGUAUUAUUUUUAUUGUUGAUUUUGCAAUGCACUACUAUCAGGUUUCCACGGUAUUUAUUAAUUUUAAUUGCCCCUAAGAUCUCACUAAGUUAGUAGGAUGUUAUUUUUGCAAUGCAGGGGGAGGGGGAGGAAUAUUUUAUCAAUUUACAGAGAGUUUAUAAGACUAGAAAUUCUGGAGUCAGCAUAACAGCUUAGGGCAAAAUCCUGCUGUUAUGCAAUAUGGUUGUUGAGGAGGGGGGAGUGGUGGGGUGCUGGCAGAAGAACCAGCCUACUUGUGCAGAACCGGGUAGAGCAAGGCAGCUAGAGAGAGAAAAUCUUCAGGGAAGGUACCUCACGGCAUGUAUUCUACAUGCCAGUCAGUGCCUCAUUACUAUAGCUGCUGUUUGUCUCAUAGGUUCUGGGUAGAACGGGAGAAGGUCCCCCAAGAAGCAGCAAACUGUGGAUUGAAGGAGGACCCUGGUCUCUCCCUGCCCUGUUUCCCAGCACCCUGCUGUGUCUCUAGCUACUGGGUGAUGGCAAUUUACUGGAACUACUUUUGCAAUGCCACCUUAGAGAUUGCAUGAUGGUUAUUCAAGAGACUUACUUAGGAGGAACAGAAGUGGUGCGGUUUAUCAUGUACUAAGUGAAAACCCAGCCCCGCCGAGUCGCAGAGAAACUUGAGUUCUUCCAUCAGGUGCACAGCAUGUAUUGGCCUGUUUGUGAAGGGACGAAGUUCAUACCUUGUGCUUACAGAUACAAUUUUAAAUUUGUAAUAGAGACCUGAUAUUCCAGCAGGGACAUGUAUUUACAUACCUAAUUAAAAUCCAAAAUAGUUAUGACAGUUUAAAAACAGUUACAUAUUUAUUUUAAGAAAUAUCUUCAAGGGAUCCAGAAUUCAAAAUUCUGGCCUCAGCCUUCCUGGAUCAAUGGGCUGCUACAGACAGUUAACAUUUUGCAUUUAGGGUGAUAACAGUAUUAUACAGAAAAUACCUUCCAUUCAGUUUUGUUUUGGUUCGUUUAAAAAAAAGAAUAAAAAAAAAUAAUCCUCCUUUCCUUUCUUAAUU